rnacentral:rRNA from 1 species
UGAACGCUGGCGGCAGGCCUAACACAUGCAAGUCGAGCGGUAGAGAGAAGCUUGCUUCUCUUGAGAGCGGCGGACGGGUGAGUAAUGCCUAGGAAUCUGCCUGGUAGUGGGGGAUAACGUUCGGAAACGGACGCUAAUACCGCAUACGUCCUACGGGAGAAAGCAGGGGACCUUCGGGCCUUGCGCUAUCAGAUGAGCCUAGGUCGGAUUAGCUAGUUGGUGGGGUAAUGGCUCACCAAGGCGACGAUCCGUAACUGGUCUGAGAGGAUGAUCAGUCACACUGGAACUGAGACACGGUCCAGACUCCUACGGGAGGCAGCAGUGGGGAGUAUUGGACAAUGGGCGAAAGCCUGAUCCAGCCAUGCCGCGUGUGUGAAGAAGGUCUUCGGAUUGUAAAGCACUUUAAGUUGGGAGGAAGGGUUGUAGAUUAAUACUCUGCAAUUUUGACGUUACCGACAGAAUAAGCACCGGCUAACUCUGUGCCAGCAGCCGCGGUAAUACAGAGGGUGCAAGCGUUAAUCGGAAUUACUGGGCGUAAAGCGCGCGUAGGUGGUUAGUUAAGUUGGAUGUGAAAUCCCCGGGCUCAACCUGGGAACUGCAUUCAAAACUGACUGACUAGAGUAUGGUAGAGGGUGGUGGAAUUUCCUGUGUAGCGGUGAAAUGCGUAGAUAUAGGAAGGAACACCAGUGGCGAAGGCGACCACCUGGACUGAUACUGACACUGAGGUGCGAAAGCGUGGGGAGCAAACAGGAUUAGAUACCCU